UGGUGGGUAGUUUGACUGGGGCGGUCUCCUCCUAAAGAGUAACGGAGGAGCACGAAGGUUGGCUAAUCCUGGUCGGACAUCAGGAGGUUAGUGCAAUGGCAUAAGCCAGCUUGACUGCGAGCGUGACGGCGCGAGCAGGUGCGAAAGCAGGUCAUAGUGAUCCGGUGGUUCUGAAUGGAAGGGCCAUCGCUCAACGGAUAAAAGGUACUCCGGGGAUAACAGGCUGAUACCGCCCAAGAGUUCAUAUCGACGGCGGUGUUUGGCACCUCGAUGUCGGCUCAUCACAUCCUGGGGCUGAAGUAGGUCCCAAGGGUAUGGCUGUUCGCCAUUUAAAGUGGUACGCGAGCUGGGUUUAGAACGUCGUGAGACAGUUCGGUCCCUAUCUGCCGUGGGCGCUGGAGAACUGAGGGGGGCUGCUCCUAGUACGAGAGGACCGGAGUGGACGCAUCACUGGUGUUCGGGUUGUCAUGCCAAUGGCACUGCCCGGUAGCUAAAUGCGGAAGAGAUAAGUGCUGAAAGCAUCUAAGCACGAAACUUGCCCCGAGAUGAGUUCUCCCUGAGACUUAGAGUCUCCUGAAGGAACGUUGAAGACGACGACGUUGAUAGGCCGGGUGUGUAAGCGCAGCGAUGCGUUGAGCUAACCGGUACUAAUGAACCGUG
rnacentral:rRNA from 1 species